UACGGAGGAUGCAAGCGUUAUCCGGAAUGAUUGGGCGUAAAGCGUCCGCAGGUGGCUGUGUAAGUCUGCUGUCAAAGAGCGAAGCUCAACUUCGUAAAGGCAGUGGAAACUACACGGCUAGAGUGCGUUCGGGGCAGAGGGAAUUCCUGGUGUAGCGGUGAAAUGCGUAGAGAUCAGGAAGAACACCGGUGGCGAAGGCGCUCUGCUAGGCCGCAACUGACACUGAGGGACGAAAGCUAGGGUAGCAAACGGG
rnacentral:rRNA from 1 species